rnacentral:miRNA from 1 species
CUGCGUGAACAAUUUCCCAUGC